rnacentral:rRNA from 1 species
GACGAACGCUGGCGGCAUGCCUAAUACAUGCAAGUCGAGCGAACAGAUGAAGUGCUUGCACUUCUGACGUUAGCGGCGAACGGGUGAGUAACACGUAAGGAAUCUACCUAUAAGCGGGGGAUAACAUUCGGAAACGGGUGCUAAUACCGCAUAAUAUCUUCUUCCGCAUGGAAGAAGAUUGAAAGACGGCUCUGCUGUCACUUAUAGAUGACCUUGCGGUGCAUUAGUUAGUUGGUGGGGUAACGGCCUACCAAGACGAUGAUGCAUAGCCGACCUGGGAGGGGGAUCGGCCACAUUGGGACUGAGACACGGCCCAAACUCCUACGGGAGGCAGCAGUAGGGAAUCUUCCGCAAUGGGCGAAAGCCUGACGGAGCAAUGCCGCGUGAGUGAAGAAGGCCUUCGGGUCGUAAAACUCUGUUAUAAGAGAAGAACAAAUUGUAGAGUAACUGCUACAGUCUUGACGGUAUCUUAUCAGAAAGCCACGGCUAACUACGUGCCAGCCGCCGCGGUAA